rnacentral:rRNA from 1 species
GACGAACGCUGGCGGCGCGCUUAACACAUGCAAGUCGAACGGAAAGGCCUGCUUUCCCUUGUGGAUUGCGGGUACUCGAGUGGCGAACGGGUGAGUAACACGUGAGUGAUCUGCCCCCAACUUGGGUAUAAGCCUGGGAAACUGGGUCUAAUUCCCGAUAGGACUGCAGGGUGGUGCCUGUGGUGGAAAACGAUUUUCUAGUGGUUGGGGAUGAGCUCGCGGCCUAUCAGCUUGUUGGUGGGGUAAUGGCCUACCAAGGCGGCGACGGGUAGCCGGCCUGAGAGGGUGGACGGGCACAUUGGGACUGAGAUACGGCCCAGACUCCUACGGGAGGCAGCAGUGGGGAAUAUUGGACAAUGGGCGGAAGCCUGAUGCAGCGACGCCGCGUGGGGGAUGACGGCCUUCGGGUGGUAAACUCCUUUCGACCGCGAGGAAGCCACCUGGUUGGAAGGGUGGUGACGGUAGUGGUAGAAGAAGCACCGGCUAACUACGUG